rnacentral:rRNA from 1 species
UACGUAGGGUGCAAGCGUUAAUCGGAAUUACUGGGCGUAAAGCGUGCGCAGGCGGUGAUGUAAGACCGAUGUGAAAUCCCCGGGCUUAACCUGGGAACUGCAUUGGUGACUGCAUUGCUAGAGUAUGGCAGAGGGGGGUGGAAUUCCACGUGUAGCAGUGAAAUGCGUAGAGAUGUGGAGGAACACCGAUGGCGAAGGCAGCCCCCUGGGCUAACACUGACGCUCAUGCACGAAAGCGUGGGGAGCAAACAGG